rnacentral:lncRNA from 1 species
AGAAGUUCCGGCGCUGCCCGCCACUGCCCACCACCAGUGUGGUCAUUGUAUUCCACAACGAAGCCUGGUCCACUCUGCUGCGCACAGUAUACAGCGUCCUGCACACCAGCCCUGCCAUCUUGCUGAAGGAAAUCAUCCUAGUGGAUGAUGCCAGCACAGACGAGCACCUGAAGGAGAAGCUGGAACGGUACGUUCAACAGCUGCAGAUCGUGCGCGUGGUUCGACAGCAGGAGCGGAAGGGGCUCAUCACGGCCCGGCUGCUGGGGGCCAGUGUGGCGCAGGCUGAGGUGCUUACGUUCCUGGACGCGCACUGUGAGUAGGACAUGCCCACCGAGUGCCAGGAGGCCUGGAUACCUGCUCAUCGCCACAGGCAGAUGAGGAGGAGGCUGGGACCAUCCUGUCCUUCUCUUUUAGGAGUAAAGAGGUUGGGGCUCACCCACUCCUGCCCCUCCCUCACACUGACUCCAGGCAUGGUUCUCCAGAGAGCACAGCCUUGAGACUUGGUGUCUCAGAACAGUUGGCCCUAAACAGUGAUUACCACUGAGGAGAAUCCCCUGUCCCACUGUAAACAACUUUUCUGUUAAAAGGGCCUCCCCCUUGACUGAGAGGAAGACUGUCCCUGCAGAAAGUUUCCUAGAAGAACAAAAGAAACCAGAAAAUUCUGGACACCGGUUCCCUUUCGACUCUACCACUAAUGGAGCCUCUGUUUCCUUACCCACCUAAUAAAAAUCACUAAUAUAAAAGU